GAUGAACGCUGGCGGCGUGCCUAAUACAUGCAAGUCGAGCGAACAGACGAGGAGCUUGCUCCUCUGACGUUAGCGGCGGACGGGUGAGUAACACGUGGAUAACCUACCUAUAAGACUGGGAUAACUUCGGGAAACCGGCGCUAAUACCGGAUAAUAUAUUGAACCGCAUGGUUCAAUAGUGAAAGACGGUUUUGCUGUCACUUAUCGAUGGAUCCGCGCCGCUUUAGCUGGUUGGUAAGGUAACGGCUUACCAAGGCAACGAUGCGUAGCCGACCUGAGAGGGUGAUCGGCCACCCUGGAACGGAGACACGGUCCAGACUCCUACGGGAGGCAGCAGUAGGGAAGCGUCCGCAAGGGGCGAAAGCCUGACGGAGCAACGCGGCGGGAGUGAGGAAGGUCUUCGGAUCGGAAAACUCUGUUAUUAGGGAAGAACAAAUGUGUAAGUAACUAUGCACGUCUUGACGGUACCUAAGCAGAAAGCCACGGCUAACUACGUG
rnacentral:rRNA from 1 species